rnacentral:rRNA from 1 species
UGGGGAAUAUUGCACAAUGGGGGAAACCCUGAUGCAGCGACGCCGCGUGAAGGAAGAAGUAUCUCGGUAUGUAAACUUCUAUCAGCAGGGAAGAAAAUGACGGUACCUGACUAAGAAGCCCCGGCUAACUACGUGCCAGCAGCCGCGGUAAUACGUAGGGGGCAAGCGUUAUCCGGAUUUACUGGGUGUAAAGGGAGCGUAGACGGAUGUGCAAGUCUGAAGUGAAAGCCCGGGGCUCAACCCCGGGCACUGCUUUGGAAACUGUGUAUCUAGAGUGCCGGAGAGGUAAGCGGAAUUCCCAGUGUAGCGGUGAAAUGCGUAGAUAUUAGGAGGAACACCAGUGGCGAAGGCGGCUUACUGGACGGUAACUGACGUUGAGGCUCGAAAGCGUGGGGAGCAAACAGGAUUAGAUACC